CUACGGGCCGUUGCAGUGAGGAAUAUUGCACAAUGGGGGGAACCCUGAUGCAGCAACGCCGCGUGGAGGAUGACGCAUUUCGGUGUGUAAACUCCUUUUAUAUGUCAAGAAAAUGACGGUAGCAUAUGAAUAAGCACCGGCUAACUCCGUGCCAGCAGCCGCGGUAAUACGGAGGGUGCAAGCGUUACUCGGAAUCACUGGGCGUAAGGGACGCGUAGGCGGGUUGGAAAGUCAGGUGUGAAAUCCUACAGCUUAACUGUAGAACUGCACUUGAAACUUCUAAUCUAGAGUAUGGGAGGGGGAGAUGGAAUUAGUGGUGUAGGGGUAAAAUCCGUAGAUAUCACUAGGAAUACCUAAAGCGAAGGCGAUCUCCUGGAACAUUACUGACGCUAAGGCGUGAAAGCGUGGGGAGCAAACAGGAUUAGAUACCCGUAGUC
rnacentral:rRNA from 1 species